CCUACGAGCGGCAGCAGUGGGGAAUAUUGGACAAUGGGCGAAAGCCUGAUCCAACCAUGCCGCGUGUGUGAAGAAGGCCUUCGGGUUGUAAAGCACUUUCAGUGGGGAAGAAAGCCUUGGGGCUAAUACCCUCGAGGAAGGACAUCACCCACAGAAGAAGCACCGGCUAACUCCGUGCCAGCAGCCGCGGUAAUACGGAGGGUGCGAGCGUUAAUCGGAAUUACUGGGCGUAAAGCGCGCGUAGGCGGUCUGAUAAGCCGGUUGUGAAAGCCCCGGGCUCAACCUGGGAACGGCAUCCGGAACUGUCAGGCUAGAGUGCAGGAGAGGAAGGUAGAAUUCCCGGUGUAGCGGUGAAAUGCGUAGAGAUCGGGAGGAAUACCAGUGGCGAAGGCGGCCUUCUGGACUGACACUGACGCUGAGGUGCGAAAGCGUGGGUAGCAAACAGGAUUAGAUACCCCAGUAGUC
rnacentral:rRNA from 1 species